rnacentral:rRNA from 1 species
UGCGUAGAUAUUAGGAGGAACACCAGUGGCGAAGGCGACUUACUGGACUGUAACUGACGCUGAGUCACGAAAGCGUGGGUAGCAAACAGGAUUAGAUACCCUGGUAGUCCACGCUGUAAACGAUGAGUGCUAGGUGUUGGGUAGCGAUACUCAGUGCCGAAGUAAACACAAUAAGCACUCCGCCUGGGGAGUACGGUCGCAAGACUGAAACUCAAAGGAAUUGACGGGGACCCGCACAAGCAGCGGAGCAUGUGGUUUAAUUCGAAGCAACGCGAAGAACCUUACCAAGGCUUGACAUCCCCUUGACAGAAGCAGAGAUGUUUCCUUCCCUUCGGGGACAAGGGAGACAGGUGGUGCAUGGUUGUCGUCAGCUCGUGUCGUGAGAUGUUGGGUUAAGUCCCGCAACGAGCGCAACCCUUAUCCUUAGUUGCCAUCAGGUAAAGCUGGGCACUCUAAAGAGACUGCCGAUGAUAAAUCGGAGGAAGGUGGGGAUGACGUCAAAUCAUCAUGCCCCUUAUGUCUUGGGCUACACACGUGCUACAAUGGUCGGUACAAAGGGGAGCGAAGGAGCGAUCCGGAGCAAAUCCCAAUAAACCGAUCCCAGUUCGGAUUGUAGGCUGCAACUCGCCUACAUGAAGUCGGAGUUGCUAGUAAUCGCGAAUCAGAACGUCGCGGUGAAUGCGUUCCCGGGUCUUGUACACACCGCCCGUCACACCAUGGAAGUUGGUAAUACCCGAAGUCGCUGAGCUAACCGCAAGGAGGCAGGCGCCGAAGGUAGGAUCAAUGACUGGGGUGAAGUCGUAACAAGGUAACC